rnacentral:lncRNA from 1 species
AGGGCUAAGGCUUUCAAAAGGCAGUGUACAGGUUUUGGUUUUUGCAUUUGUGUUUGUUUUUGUUUGUUGGUUGGUUUUAGAAUACUUAAUGCUUUAAUUGGACCAUUUUUCAGUGCUUGCAGCCCCUGUAUGCAUUAAGGAUAGAACUGAGGUGUUACAGGAAUGUUCCAAAAUAUUUUCUGUUACACUUGGAAAAAUAUAUUCAGUUCCUAGAUUUCAGGUUAUUUUGCUGUUAGAUAAGCAGCAUGAAAAAACAGUAUUUUUUCCUCCCGAACUUUCUUGAUUAAAGGGUCGAGUGGUGGAAAAUAUCUCGAAGCGAUGCGGUGGAUUCCUGAGGAAGCUCAGCUUGCGAGGCUGCAUUGGUGUUGGGGAUUCCUCCUUGAAGACCUUUGCACAGAACUGCCGAAACAUUGAACAUUUGAACCUCAAUGGAUGCACAAAAAUCACUGACAGUGCGUCUGCUCUUUUUCAGCACGUGUUAUAGCCUUAGCAGAUUCUGUUCCAAGCUGAAACAUCUGGAUCUGACCUCCUGUGUGUCUAUUACAAACAGCUCCUUGAAGGGGAUCAGUGAGGGCUGCCGAAACCUGGAGUACCUGAACCUCUCUUGGU